rfam:Macrostomum lignano uti_cns_0006617, whole genome shotgun sequence.
AAAACGGCCCUUUUAAGGGCCACACCCUAUUGGAGGUCAUUUAGGGU